CGCCAUUCUCCUGCCUCAGCCUCCCAAGUAGCUGGGACUACAGGCAUGCGUCACCACGCCCGGCUAAUUUUUUGUAUUUUUAGUAGAGACGGGGUUUCACCGUGUUAGCCAGGAUGGUCUCGAUCUCCUGACCUCGUGAUCCGCCCGCCUCGGCCUCCCAAAGUGCUGGGAUUACAGGCGUGAGCCACCGCGCCCGGCCGUCUUAUGACUCUUAAGGCCCUGUUCUGGUUGCUAUGGCUACAUAACAAACCCCUCCAGACUGAGUGCUUUACAUCUUAUUAUGCUCAUGGGCUCCACGAUCAGGAAUUUGGAAAGUGCACAGAAAAGAUGGGCUGUCUCUGCUCCCUGAUCCCUGGACCUCAGCUGGGAAAACUGAAAAACAGGGAAGGUUGGAAUCAUCUGACUCCCGUCUGGACUGAGUCUGGCAGCCAACAUGGAUGUUGGCUGGGACCUCGGUGAGGACUGCUGGCAGGAACACCUACACAUGGCCUUUUCCUUCGGCUGCUGGCCUUGCUCACAGAAUGGUGACCGGGUUCCAAGUGUGAACCCAGGUACAGGAAGAGACAGGAAAUGGAAACUGCCAGUUUCCUUAAAAUCUGGGCCCACUAACUAGCAUGGCAUCAUUUCCACCAUCUUCUAUUAGUCAAGCAUCACAAAGCCCAUAUUCAAGAGGAGACAACCUAGACCCAGCCUCUCAAUAAACAGUAUCAAAGGCUUUAGAGAGCAUGGUGUCAAGCUCCCAGAUUCUAAGGCUGUGACUCAACCCAGUGCACUGGGCUGCCUGGCUGUACACAGGUGUCCAUAUUGAUGCAAAGCCCCCAAGCUGCUCUUAUCCUCUUGUGAAGCACCCUUAGCUUGGUUAGUAUUUAAAUAACUCAGGAAUCUUUCCCCUCCUGGAUUUUGAGAGACCUCCACAUCUUCUCCUGUUCUCCCACUCUGUUCCCUCAUCCCACAAAACAGGCUCCUUUCCCCAGAACUAUUCUACCUGAAUACAGGCGAAAGAUCGCUCAAUGAGUUAGCCUUCCCCCACACCCCAGCUCUGACUCCCCCAGGGCUACCUUUCCAAAAGGAGACUCAACCCAAUUUCUUCUAGCUUUCAUCUGGGAGGGGCAGGUGGGGGCGGGGAGGGAGAAUGAAAGGGGCGAGGUGGUCUUGGCUGAGUGACCUGAUCGCAGGAAGUCACGGCUCUUUCUGCACAGAUCACUAGCUGGAUGGCUGUGUCUGGCCUAGGAGACCACAGUGAGAACCUGUCACUAAAGCAGGUGCCCAUGAUGGGAAGAACUGGAAAUUUUAUCUAAAGAGAGAGGCUGAAGUAUUCCUUAAACCACAAAAGAAAACAGUGAAAGUACAAAAUGACAACAGCCAUCUUCAAAUACUGCUUGUCAGAGGGACAAGAGAGAACAGAGGUGCUGUGCUGCUCCACAAGGCAAAACAAGAGCAAACAAGUCUGUCUGAAUUUCAAGAGGCUGGCCCUGAGGCUGCACUGUGGCAGUCUAGGUGAGAGACGCUGGUGACAAUGUGUGGAGGACAUAGGCCAGAGAAUUUUCUCCACCAAGUCUUGACAGAAUUUGGUGAAGAACUAGCUGGAGAAGGCAAGAGUGAAGGUGACAUUGUCACUUGGAUUUUAGGGUUGGACAUUUAGAGUAACUCCUUAGUUUCCUUUUAACUCUCAGAUACUGUGAUUUGAUCAAAUUCCAAAUUAUGACAGGUAUCUUUGGGAUGAGGAUAAAAUUUCCUUUGGAAAGAACCCGUGGGUGAAGGCUGCCAGGACACAUGGCCUGGCCUGGCUCACGUGGGUGAGACAGGUAGUUUCACAAGGUCCUGCUCCACUCUGCCACCUGUCAGCACAACUUUUACUACUGCAGAGGCUGUGGCCACUAGAUAAACUACUCACAGGCAGUCAAACUCUCCCCAUCUCUACUGCCUCACCCCACCUCUCAGUUACUAAGCAAUACUUUCUGGAAAGCCUGUAGACAAAGCACCUGCGGGGUGUGGAGACACCUAUACACUGGGCCAUGGGACAAGGCGGACCAAGAACCUGACCUCCAUCAGUUUAACGAUCUCAAGCCACACCUUGGGAACGUGUGGAUUCAAACAUGUUUAUUGAGCGAAUCAUUAGGACACAAAAUAGGCUGAGAAAGAUGUUCCAAAAAUCCAGAAAACCAUGGGCUAUUUCCAUUAAACACAGAGGUGCUGCCCUUCUCCACUCCAAACAGAACAGGAAAAAGGCAAGGGGACUGGGCCACAGUGCAUUAGGGAGGACAGGGUCUCUCGGCUUCUCUACCCCAGAGGGAAAGGUUAGGUUAGAAAAACAAUGCCCAACUCUUUCCCCUCAGAGCCCAGGGCUGAAGCCUGGGGGAAUGCUUCAUUUUGCUCCUUUUCUCUGCCUUUUCCAAAUGGUCACAUUCUUGAGGUAGGGAGUGGAGCUGGGGAGGGGCCCAGAGUCCUGUCAGAAAUCCUAUAAUGAGAAAGAUGAAAGGAAUACACAGGACACAGCAACGGGCCAAUGGGCAGACCAUCCUCCCCUGGGUUACCCUCAAAGACAGCCCAGAGGGCCACCCUCAGGCUAUGGCCUGUCAAUUUGAUGAGUGCACGGGUUGCCUGCCAGCAUUUCCCAAGGAUACAUAACUCCUCCUGCUCUGGGGACACUCACCUCAAUAUCCAGCUCUGUAGAAUCUAAGAGGUCCAGCCCGCGCUCACUGGUGGAACAGUAGCUACUUGCUUGCUAGAGAGAAUGAGGUUAAAAGUCAAAAAGGCCUUUACACACUCCUGUCACUUCGCAAAUAAAAAAACCAGUUCCUUUCCCAGCCUCAUAAGAACAAAUAUGGGCAGAGCAGGCCCCUAUGGCACCUCCUGGGAGGGAAGUCAGUGUGGGCACGAGGAUCAGGCCUGACUGCAGAGCGCUUCUUGGCCUGCUGACUGAGCCCCUUAAAUGACUUUGUUUUGGAAACCAGAAAACGGAUUUUUUCUGAGAUGUUAGGAAAUAAUAUUUUAACAGAGGCCUUGCUCUCUAGUCUCUGGUUUGAAGGUAUCAGUUUGGUUUCUCCUUCUGAGCACAAGACUCCCCUGUUCUGUUCUAUUCUGUUCUUUUUCCUUCCCUGCAGAGAAGAGAACAGAAGAAUAACAGCAGAAGAUACACAGCCUGUAAUGGACUGAAUAUCUGUGUCCCCCUAAACCCACAUAUUGAAAUCCUUCCCCCAGUGUGAUGCUGUUUGGAAGUGGGGCCUUUGGGAGGUGAUUGGUUCAUAGGGGUGCAGCCCUCAUGGAUGGAUGAAUGCCCUUCUAAGCCCAGGCCAGAGGGCUAGCUUGCUGUUUCUCCUCCAGGUGAGGAUACAACUAGAAGCCAGCAGUCUACAGGCUGGAAGAAGGCCCUCACCAGAACCCAACCCUUGGACUUCAGCCUCCAGAACUAUUCAUUCAGCUUUUCGAGACCAGGCAUCACCGAGCGGAGAGAGGGGAAACACCCUGGCUUCUCUUUGGCACAUCAGCCCCUAGUUCUUGAGAGAGAAGGGCAGGGUGGUCUACUCACCAUGUCUGUAUCCUGCCGUUCUUCAUUUGACUCAUCCUGGAUUUCUAACUCUUCUUCCUCGUCCUCUUCCAUAAGGCUGAGUCUGAUGUAGGGGCAAAGAGACUGGCUUUUCAAACUGUUCUUUGAGGACCCCUGAGAGUUUCUCAGACACCCGGGGUGGGGGAAGUGGGGAGCAGUAAGUACAGCAUAGUAGGUUUCCCAAUUGUGCUGACAGGAAGUGCUUUGUGGCUAAAACAAGUCCAAAAAGUACCCACAGAGAGGCAAUGGGUGAGACAGGAAUCCCCUCACAGUGGGCGACAGAUCUGAAGUGAAGACAGGAGAUGAUGAGAAAAGCUCACCGCAUCAGCUGGUUGCCCAGGCCAGGACCUGAAGGGUUGUGUGGAGUCUGGAAAUAUUGUGGACCCAAGAACCUUGACCUCUCGGUGCCUGCAACGGGCUGACUGCUGGGAAUGAAGCAGGAUCAAUGAUGGGAUAAAAAUCAAGGGUAAGAAGAGGAUGCAAGGCAGCUGGUGUUAAUGGGGAGAAAAGCUCAGAGAGAUGCAUUUUAAAGCUAAACAAUGGAGAAGGGUUUGAGAAGAACCCAACAAUGUGGGAGUGCUACAGCAGGGAACCAUGAAACAGAAACAGCAAGAUGGAGGCAGCCAGACACCAAACUGGGAACUCAGACACCCAGAUUCCCUCCAUGGCCUCACCCCUGGGCAAAAUCCAACUCUGAGCCAUCUUCUUCCUCCAUCUCUUUCAACCCCCACAGGGGCUGCCUGCUCUUCACAGCUGUGGAGGUGAGGGUGGGCGUGGGCGGGAUGCUGUUCAGCUGCAGACUUUCUUCCUGGGACGAGGAGACGUCCUCUCUGUUAGGCUUGGCAGGCCCUGCCAAGCAGAUGCAUACAUUAACCACAGCCCAGGGCCUGCGACAGGUGUGCUCUCUUUCCAAGACCUGCCCAGGAUUUAGUAAGGGAAAGUCAAUCAGGAAGAGAAUGGAAAACUUAUACAGCUUCAUUCUGUUGCCCUCAAAUGGGCAUAGCCCUAUGUACUAAAUACAUAGCCCUAUGUACCAAAAAGUAAGGCUUAGAGAAUUGUAGCUGGCCUUGUCCAAGAAGAACUUGCUACACAGCCUAGAAAACAAGAUGGAAAGAUACAUAAAUAUGCAUUUCACAGAUAAACUGUAACCGGUGAACACAAACAUGAGGGAGGGUUGGAGUCUCUAAGAUUGAGAGGUCUGAGUUAGCCAAUGAAGACAUUUGAGAUCCUAUCCAAGAUUUCUGUGGUCAGAAAAAGCUGUAAAUGGCAAUAGAGUUUUGGUACCAGAGGCUAGAGUGGACAAAUGAGGGCCAGGGAGGAACUGGAAAAUGGGAGACAGGAUUUUCUAAAAGCUAGAAAAAAAAUGAAGUGAUUGCAAUGCCAGUAUAACUGAUAUGAUAUGAAGGGGGACUUAUCUCCUGCAGAGAUUGGAGAAGGUAGAGGAGGAGAAAGAAUCCAAAGAUUCUCACUGCCUGAGAAAACCCAGGCAAUACUAUUUUAAAGCAUCAGUCAAAUUGACAUUAACAUCUGUUAACUGUAAACAGUCACACUCCCAUUACCCUCCCUCUCCACUGAAAACAAUAAUCCCAAAGUGAGCGCCUAUGGGUUUAAGCAGAGGGCUACAGAAAACAGGGAAGAGACAUACCCCUGGGCUUGGAUUCCCAGAGAGGAAACCUUGGGGCCCCAGGUGUGUCCUCCUGAUCUCCCUGAGCUAUUAAUGGUGUGAUGCCCGAGGGCUGGGCCCUUGAGUCUCUCCUCUUCUCCAUCUUCACUGGCUUCCCCAGCCACUCACGUUCAUGUCCUUAAAUAUCACCUAUACUCUGCCACAUCCCAAAGGGAUCUCAAGCCUUCAGCUCUCCCCUGAACUCCAUCUUAACAGCCCCCAUGGUUUGUUCAACAUCUCCACCUGUAAUCCUGUGGCCAACACCAAUGCCCCAACCUUCCCCCACAGCUAUCUUCACUCUCUGCCUUCCCCAUCUCAGAUACUGUCAACUCCAUCCUUCUGUCAGGCCAAAAUCCUUGGAGCCAUCCUCAACUGCUCUUUUUGUCUUACAUCCCACAUCCAGUUUGUCAGAAAAGCCUAUUAGAGAUACCUUGAAAAUGCACCCAGAAUCUGGCCGUUUCUCGGCACCUCCACCAUUGCCCCCGGCCUAAGAAGCUCUCUUAUCUUGAAUCUUGGGCUGGACUCCUACAACAGCCACAACCUCCCUGCUGGUCUCCCAGCUUCUAGCCUUCCCCCAUCUCCUGUCGUUUUCGACACAGCAGCCAGAAGGAUCCUUUAAAAACAGAGGUUGAUCCUGUCGUUCCUCAAAAUCCUCCAAUGGUUUUCCUACUGCACUCAGAGUAAAAGCCAGUCUCCGCCUUAGAUGCUCUGGGAUCCUGUACCCUCUCUUUGGUCUCAUGUCCUACAAUCUGCAUUCUGGCCAUAAUGGUCUUCUCUGCUGUUCCUUGAACAUUCCAGGAACAUUCCCCCCAUCCCCUCGUGGCCUCAGGACUGGCUGCUUCCUUUGGUAUGCUAUUCUGAUACACACUAAGCACCCUCCCUCACCUGUUAUAAAAAAUUCGCUGGGAGGCCAAUAGGCUGAAAUGGCUCCUGCACUUUGGGUUCCUAAGUCAGCAAACUGAAACUCAACUCAGAGUGAAAGUGUUGUGUGUAACCUAGGAGCAGGAAACUUCAGCUUAACCAGUCAGAAACUACCGACUAACCUCUAACAAGAGAUUUAUGGUCAGUUAACCUCUAAAUAUGAACUUUCCACUCUAACCAAUCAAAUAGUUUCUUUGUCUUGCUCCCAGAGACACCUUGUAAGUGUCCCCUCUGGUUUCCUCGGUGGUGGCGCCCUGAACUGUUGGCGGUCUGCCACUGCCUGAUUGAUAAAAUUGCUGAAUGCUCAAAUAAACCUG
rnacentral:lncRNA from 1 species